GACGUAGGGCGCGAGCGUUGUCCGGAUUUAUUGGGCGUAAAGAGCUCGUAGGCGGCUUGUUGCGUCGACCGUGAAAACCCGCGGCUUAACUGCGGGCUUGCGGUCGAUACGGGCGGGCUAGAGUUCGGUAGGGGAGACUGGAAUUCCUGGUGUAGCGGUGAAAUGCGCAGAUAUCAGGAGGAACACCGGUGGCGAAGGCGGGUCUCUGGGCCGAUACUGACGCUGAGGAGCGAAAGCGUGGGGAGCGAACAGG
rnacentral:rRNA from 1 species